GUGUUCUCAGUUAAUCCAGUCCAAAUUAUUAAGCCUUCAUAAUCCUCUAGGACACGUAGUCAGAUAAGACUGCAACUGAUUUGAAGAAAUCCUUAAUUGCAGAAAUCAUCAAGCCUUGCUCUUCUGCUGGGCAAGAUGAAAGCAUUCAUCUUCUCCAGAGAACACAAGAAGUCCUCACCUUGCAAGCAGAGACGAGGCCCUCCCCAGACACUGAGCUUGGUGGCACUUCGAUUUUGGACUUCCAGCCUCCAAAACUGUGAGAAAAAGUGCUGAAUAUCACAGAACACAAAGAAAAGAGAGAGAGAAAUUGACAGAGCCUAUAAAUGUUGCACGAAGGUUCAGAUACAUACAGUUCUGCUGGCUUUUUAAGGAGCAGUGUUUCCUAUAUCCUAAGGCAGAUGGACAUGUUGGGUUGGAGGGACAUGGAUGGAGCUGGAAGCCAUUAUCCUCAGCAAAUUAACACAGGAACAGAAAACCAAACACUGCAUGUUUGUGGGAGCUGAACAAUGAGAACACGUGGACCCAGGGGGAACAACACACACUGGAGCCUGUUGGCGGUAGUAGGGGUAUGAGGGAAGGAAGAGCAUCAGAAAAAAAUAGCUAAUGUAUACUGGGUUUAAUACCUAGGUGAUGGGUUGAUAGGUGCAGCAAACCACCAUGGCACACAUUUGCCUAUGUAACAAGCGUGUUGCACAUGUAUCCCGGAAUGUAAAAUAAAAUAAAAU
rnacentral:lncRNA from 1 species